AGCACUCUACCACUGAACUCGUCUUUUUAGAGCGGGGCCUCAUUGGAUUGUGUUGAUUAAGGCUGGCACUCUACCACUUGAACCACACCUCCACACCUGAUUUUGAAUGAAGAGUUUCUGAUUCGCCUGCCAGCGAGAGACCAACGUCAUCCCAUCAGGUCAUCCCAGCUCGGCCUCCUGCUGCUUUCCAGGAUGUACAGCAGGACAAGCAGAGUGGCGUGUGACCAGCAAGCUCGCUCAGGCCCUCCCAGCUUCAUUUUGAAAUUACCUUGUUGUCAAGCAGUUCUGUCCCAAGACAAAGCUACCUUUCAAGACAAGCACGCAGAAGCCAGGCCCAGCGCAUACCUGGU